AUUAUUUAAUUCAUCUAAUAUUAUGAAUUACUUCUUUCGAAAGACUGCAGAACGCGACAAUGUUUAUUAUAUUUUCAACAUGGCGACUAAUAUUUAAAUCCGAUUAUUGACAAGUCGAAACAUGAUAAGAUAUUGUAUAGUACGACAAAGACAAGUUAACGCACGCCUUCAGUGAUUUAGCAAUUAUAUUAUGAAUUCAAAUACUUGAGAAAAAAAACCACCUCAUAAUUAUUAAGAUAUAUUAUACUAAUUAGUGCCAUUAAUAAUAACUAUUUA
rnacentral:lncRNA from 1 species